GGCUUUUGUGGAAUGUAAAAAGUUCUACGAAUAAGGACUGGGUAAGACUAGUGCCAGCCGCCGCGGUAAUACUAGCGGUCCAAGUCGCAGCCAUUCUUAUUGGGUCUAAAACAUCCGUAGCUUGCUUGAUAAGUUUUCUGUGAAAUCUCAUAUCUCAAGUAUAAGAAUUGUGGAAAAUACUGUCAAGCUAGAGACCGGGAGACGUAAAGAGUACGUCUAAAGUAGCGGUAAAAUGUGUUGAUCUUAGGCGGACUGACGAUAGCGAAGGCACUUUACGAGAACGGUUCUGACAGUAAGGGAUGAUGGCUAGGGGCGCAAAACGGAUUAGAUACCCGUGUAGUCCUAGCAGUAAACACUGCACACUAAACCUUGUGAUCUCUUCGAGAGAUUGCAGGGCUGCAGGGAAGCCGAAGAGUGUGCUACCUGGGAAGUAUAGUCGCAAGGCUGAAACUUAAAGGAAUUGGCGGGGAGACACUACAACGGGUGACGCGUGCGGUUCAAUUAGAUUAUACACCGUGAACCUCACCAGGAGCGACAGCAGAAUGAAGGUCAGUCUAAAGGGCUUACCUGACACGCUGAGAGGGGUUGCAUGGCCGACGUCAGCCUGUGCUGUGAGGCGAUCUGUUAAAUCAGAUAACAGGCAAGACCCACAUCUUUAUUUAC
rnacentral:rRNA from 1 species